GCUGUUUAUGAUGUCUUUACACUAAAUCCAUUGAAUGUUGGAUGUGUACGGAUUGAUAAUUUAGUCUUAGAUGCAUGAUUUUUUUAUUAGUUGUUAGUGGCUUUGAACUAGCUGUCAGAUAACUGCGAGUACUCUCAGAUCUGUUCAUUGUGUCUUUUUGUGUCGGGAUGUAUAAGUACCCGGCCAAGUCCACUUAUAUUGUUGUCCAUCUGAUGAGUUAAUAUAAAAAAGAAGAUGUGGUAUGAUUGCCAAUGAGACAACUAUCCACAAAAGACCAAAAUGACACGGACAUUAACAACUAUAGGUCACCGUACGGCCUUCAACAAUGAUCAAAGCCCAUACCGCAUAGUCAGCUAUAAUAGGCCCCGAUAAGACAAUGUAAAACAAUUCAAACGAGAAAAAUAACGGCCUUAUUUAUGUAAAAAAAAAUGAACGAAAAACAAAUAUGUAACACAUACACAAACGACAACCACUGAAUUACAGGCUCCUGACUUGGGUCAGGCACAUACAUAAAUAAUGUGGAGGG
rnacentral:lncRNA from 1 species